CCUAAAGAUCUUGAAGAAUUGGGGGAACAAGUGAAAGAGGUAACCUUUCAGAGAGUAUUGCAAUUUUUCAAGAAGAAGAUGAACCCUUGGAAGAGGUCCUUGGAAGAAAAUGAAGCAAUUUCGGAAGUCGUGAUCAUAAAAUAGCCCUUUUGGGAAUUUUAGAGGCUCUGGUAGUGCGAUCAAUCGCAGGGGAGCUGCGAUCGAGCGCACUACAGGCGAAGACCACGAGCGCAAGGUAUAUGCGAUCGAGCGCCCAACACAAUAGGAUUGAUCGCAGUCCUGCGAUCGAUCGCACAAGGGCAGCGAUCAACACCGGAUUCUUGUGUUAAUCAACAUGGAAAACCAGGAAUAGACACCCAUGCCUUAGGCCUCAUGUGUUUGUCGAUUUCCAUAUAUUUAUGCUUUCUUAAAGAACAACUUAGUAGAUAUCCAUGCUAAAUCCUGUAAGAAAGAAAAGAAUUAGAGUAGACACCCAUGCCUAAUUCGUUGCUUAGGGAAAUCAAUAGCUUAAAGAGUAGACACCCGUACCCUUAGGUUGGCAAACAUUAAGUAUUCACAAUAUGAUUGGAUCAUUGUUA